CAAAUAGCACUGAAGUGAAAAAAAAUCGCACUCACCCAUUGCUCCCUACAUCUGCUCCAACGCCGGCGACCGGACCGCGGCUCCAUGACCGGAGACCAACCCCGGCGGUGCUACUUCUCCCCCACCCUGUCCCCCAUCCCUGCAACACCCUGGUCCCUCCUCCGGGCUCCAGCUCUCCCCCAUCUCACAUCCCGUUUGACCGACGCCUCCACAUCAACGACGACCUCCGGACGGUGACCCGCGACUGGGAGGUGCUCGAGCUCUUCAGAGGCGGAAGCGGAGGCGUCGGAUCACCCAGCUUGCCCCCGCUCGCAUGUCCCUCAAGUCAGCCGUCACCGCGCACCUACAGCUCGCGCUCGCCGUCCUCCUCCGCUUAUAUCUCCUCCCGUACAUGGAUAGGUGUCGAGCUCAGUCGCCGAUUCCAGGGCCAGGCCCUCAUCACGCCUGAAGGGAGGGAAGAGCAAGCAGCAUACCAGGUUAGGAACCAAAGAGCAGGCAGAAGAAAACAUAAAUCAGUGAACUACGUUUUAAGGAAUAUGUAGGUCUUUCAAUGAAGCUCUUUUGCGCAUGCCCCCCUGCAGAUGUGGAGCCGUUUUGCAUUUCUUCGAGGGAUCUCACAUGAGGAAUUCUACUCAGAUUACUGUGUAGCCAAUCACUAUCAUCUUCGGCAACCAAAACUGACUCGCUGCAUCGCGUGGUGUAUCAUGUUUGGGAUUGAAUGUGCAGAUACCCUCUAGCCUUGAAUAUGCAGAUAUUCCUGCACGCGGGCAUGAAUCAGUUAAGCCAUAUACCAUUAUCCCAAAUUCUACUUCAAUGAGCUUUAUGUACCAUUUUAGUGUGACAUGGUUAUAUUUAUAUUUGUAAAGUAAAUUCCCUAAUAUCGCAUAUUAGUCUACCUGCUGUAUGGUUGAGCGAACCAGCUGCAUAGGAUUGCCAUGAAUCUGGUUGAGGAAGUUGAGAUGCAUUUGUCUGCUGCACAAAUGGAGCCAUGCCUGAAAUAUGAUAGCAAAUGAUAAAUCAGUGUCUGGGUGACUCCCGAUUGUCCGGCAGAUGGUGUAUGGCAUAUUGCGGUAGUAAUGCUGAUGGGCCAUACACCAUGCGAAUCUCUAUCAGGCAUGCCGUGCAACUCCAAGUUAAGGCAGAGAUGUUGAUUUUGUGCGAGGACAUGACCAGUGACCACCGGCCUAAAAUAUUCAAGAAGAUGGAGGAGCCGCGUGUGCAAGGAUGUGAGGCAGCCUCCUUGGAGGAGCAGCUGCCGACGGCAGGUGCUGGGCGGCGUCCUCGAUGGUGUCGGCGGUGACGUCUCGUUGGUGACGAUCCGCGAUGGUGUCCUUCGUGAAGGACUUGCUGGCGACGGUUGGAGGCAGCGACGGUCUAGCUAUUGACCAUGGUGAGUUGAUGGACAUGGAGCAGUUCGAGUUGGCAUGUGUAGGGCGACGGCGCUGUCACUGGUGUCGUUGGCGAAGGCCGGCCAUCGGCGAGGGCUGGAAUGCGACAGUCCGUGGUGCCGAAGGUCGGCGAGGGCGCUGGGAGGCGACGGUCGUGCGGAUGAAGAUCGGCGAGGGGACGAAGGUCGGCCGGGGAGCUUCGAGGCGACGGUCGUGCGGGAUGAAGGUGGGCACGUUUUGGUAACUGUCUUUAUUUGGAGAUGCGUUAGUGGAGAUUUGGUCCGGACUGUUCAAUUUACGUAACGAUUGGAGAAGGUUGUCCGGUUGUCCGUCCUGCCUGAUGUAGACCAUGCGAUCUGUUUUGGUUGGUUCAGAUUUAAUGGAUCUGCCCCCUUCUGGGACCUUUUAUA